GAGGGUAUAGCUCAGUGGUAGAGCACUAGCGUGUAUGAGGUCCUGGGUUCAAGGCCCUGUACCUCCA
rnacentral:tRNA from 1 species